rnacentral:rRNA from 1 species
AAUGAACGCUGGCGGCGCGCCUAAUACAUGCAAGUCGAGCGAGAAGACGUAGCAAUACGUUUGUAAAGCGGCGAACGGGUGAGGAAUACAUGGGUAACCUACCCUCGAGUGGGGAAGUAACUAGCCGAAAGGUUAGCUAAUACCGCGUACGCUUCUUGGACUUCGGUUCAGGGAGGAAAGCGAUGCCGAGGGUAUCGCGCUCUUGGAUGGGCUCAUGUCCUAUCAGCUUGUUGGNGAGGUAACGGCUCACCAAGGCUUCGACGGGUAGCUGGUCUGAGAGGACGAUCAGCCACACUGGCACUGCGACACGGGCCAGACUCCUACGGGAGGCAGCAGUAAGGAAUAUUGCGCAAUGGGCGAAAGCCUGACGCAGCGACGCCGCGUGGGGGAGU